rnacentral:rRNA from 1 species
GAAAGGGGUGCUAAUACCGAAUGAAUGUAAGAGUACCGCAUGAGACACUUACUAAAGGAGGCCUCUGAAAAUGCUUCCGCUUGAAGAUGAGCUUGCGUCUGAUUAGCUAGUUGGUGAGGGUAAAGGCCCACCAAGGCGACGAUCAGUAGCCGGUCUGAGAGGAUGAACGGCCACAUUGGGACUGAGACACGGCCCAGACUCCUACGGGAGGCAGCAGUGGGGAAUCUUCCGCAAUGGGCGAAAGCCUGACGGAGCAACGCCGCGUGAACGAUGAAGGUCUUAGGAUCGUAAAGUUCUGUUGUUAGGGACGAAGGGUAAGAAUCAUAAUAAGGUUUUUAUUUGACGGUACCUAACGAGGAAGCCACGGCUAACUACGUGCCAGCAGCCGCGGUAAUACGUAGGCGGCAAGCGUUGUCCGGAAUUAUUGGGCGUAAAGGGAGCGCAGGCGGGAAACUAAGCGGAUCUUAAAAGUGCGGGGCUCAACCCCGUGAUGGGGUCCGAACUGGUUUUCUUGAGUGCAGGAGAGGAAAGCGGAAUUCCCAGUGUAGCGGUGAAAUGCGUAGAUAUUGGGAAGAACACCAGUGGCGAAGGCGGCUUUCUGGACUGUAACUGACGCUGAGGCUC